CCUCGGCGGCGGAGCACCAGAUGUUAACUCCGACCUGGAGUCUUGCUCGCUUUCCUCGAACGCGACGAACUCCCCCUGCACGUGACCUGGCGUCAGAUGCUUGCAGAACCGAGUCGUCAUCGUGUCAUCGUUCGCCUCUCUGCCGUCGGUCUCAUGAGCGAGAUCUUCGCCCGUACGGUAGUAACCUCACUGCUUUUGGUACCCUUAGCCUCCGCUUUAAUGGCCUCUCCUGUAGCCUCCAUCGGACCUCUCCGGCGCCGCCAACGUCUAUUUCCAGGAACACCGUUCUUCAGGCAAUAUUCCGACGGUGCUGUUCUCCAUGGAGAAACUUGUUCAUUUUAAUCUUGCUGGGAAUGGCUUAACCGGCGGGAUCUCACCAGCGUUCGGGAAUCUGUCUCACCUCAGGACGCUGUCCCUUGAGAGUAAUCAUCUGGAGGGAAAUAUACCAAACCUUGAUCUUACGAAUCUAAGGGUACGAAGAGUCCAUUAAAGCGAAGGAUAAGGGUGGGGUGAGGUUUCCAACAGUACUGGCGGGGAUCGGCGGCGGGGAGGUAAAUGAUGACGACUCAGUUCUGUAAGCAUCCGACGCCCUGCCUUGUUCAGAUGGAGAAAAUCGCAUUCCACCGGAGUACAGUGCGGCCGAGGGUGUCGCGGAAGGCGAGCAAGGCUGCACGGUCAGAUGGUGCUCCGCUGCCGAGAAGGGAGAAGAGGAGGAAGACGAUGAGAACAGAUUUGUUAGAAUGAGAUAACCUAAACCCCUGUUUGAUUGAUGUAGAAUUAGUUUUUUUUUUCCAUUCAAUUUAACUAAAUGAGGGAGCAUAGAACCAUAACUAAUUUUGUUGAAUGAUAUCACAUUAGACAUUACGUUCUUAUAGUAAAAAAGAUAUUGUACAAGAAGUUGAAGAACUGGAAAGUGUUGCAAUAUUGAAAUUUUGCUCACUUGUAUUAUUCAAUGUGCAGGCACUGAAUUUGAUUUUACUCACUUCAUCUGAACUGGCAAAUCUUAGAGAACUCCUCAAGCAAUCGUUAAAUAAUCCCUCUGGAAAAGAUUUAUUUCUCUAUUUAUAUUCUUCUUGGCCAUUCACCGAUAGCAAUAUUAAGCUUGUGUUUGCUUGCUCAGGUAUGGAUCUAGAUGGCUGCUUAAUUUCUUUUUUAUGAACUUUUAGUCUAGCGAUGUAAUCAAGUCUCUGGGGGAGAAUUACAUAAAUGUAUAGUUCUUGAUGCAAUUGGACGAGUUGAUACGCCUACUUAAGACGCCAGUGUUUGCUUAUUUGAGAUUGCAGCAAUCCAAAUAGUAAACAAAUACGUCAGGCUUCAACACACAAUCCAGAACACAAAACGUAAGCUCGAUAAAAAUAACAAAGCCAAAAUUGACUAAAAUAGCCCGACGAUGAGAGACACACUGAGCCAAAGGAGAUGAGGCUCCAUGAGUUUCAAAUUACACAAACAACAUUAUAAGACAUCAUGGUGACGACCAGAUCAUUCCCCUCGACAAACCCUUCUUUGAUCUCCUUCAGAAGAGCCUCAUCCGUAGGGAGCUUCAAAUUGUUCUUGAUGGUUUCCAUUUUCACCCAGAAGACUAGCAAAUCCAUCUUCAGCUAUAUCAACCAAUUGAUAGUCAGUAUGAUUUAACAUGUGGAACAUCGCAGUUAUGAGAAAAAGGCACAAUGUCUUCAAGCUUCUUAGAAGUAAAGAUAUCAAUUGCAAGUUGCUAAAAAG